rnacentral:lncRNA from 1 species
ACUGGUGUGAGUCUUUCCACCUUUCUAAGGUUCACUCCCUCAUUAGCAUCUCAUCCUAAGGACACCUUCUACCUCCUUGUCCUCUAAGCAAUGCUUUUCAAACCCUACAGACCAGUGCCUGCAUCAGAAUAAUGAGGAAGGGCUUUUGGAAUACUAUGCAGCCAUGUCCCUCUGCAGGGACAUGGAUGAAGCUGGAAACCGUCAUUCUCAGCAAACUAACAUAAGAACAGAAAACCAAACACCACAUGUCCUCACUCAUAAGUGGGAGUUGAACAAUGAGAAUACAUGGACACGGGCAGUGACCUGAGAAGCUACGUAUUGACACGGCGCUACCACGGGUGGAGGAGCCUGCAUUGCUGAAUCACAGGAUGAAGGCGAAUCCCUGCCAGCCUCCAUCCAUCUCUGGGGUGCUUAGCAGAAUCCUCAGCUCACAAGAUGAAUAAAUGCAGACUAAAUGAUGCACAAAUAAUCUUCACACACAACCAUCAACACAUGGAAAGACUGCAGGACGGCCAGAUCCCAAGCUAACAAACAGGGGAAGAUGAUGUUUCAAAUGAUCAUCUGAAUGCUGGGUUUCCACCUUCCACCAGGAAGUCAUAUGAAAAAGAAAAAAAAUGGCAUUAUGAUACAAACAGAAAAUGUAACAGUGGAGUGCAGAAAAUACAAAAAAAAGGAAAAAAUAAAUAGAAAAUCUUCAAAGAGGCAAUCUGUUUAAAUCUUCAAGAACUGGAAACAGUAAAAGUGAACAGGUUUUUAUUGAGCAUGUCAAUAAAAUGUUUGCAUAAGACUUUACAAGUGCUUUAUUUCAUGAGGUUUUUAUUAUUGAUCAAAGCAACGAAAAUGAACGGGAAAUUCAUUCUCAUCAAAUCUACAACUUGGGAGGAGGUCCGAUGAAAUCCCUGGAAGCUCACAUUUUUUAUAAAUGAAGAGUUAAUUACCGGUGGGAACAAUGAGAACCUCUGUGGUUCUUCCUGAUGCUUGGAUCCUCCCAGACCUCUGUUUCCAGUCUCCUUCUCCACAACCUGGCCUAUGCGAUGCAAGUGGUCUAACUGAUCUCCGCCUAGGGAAGGAUCCUUCGGCAACUUGCCGACAAGAGAAGCAGCGAUGCCCGAGGCAGGUCCAAAGGAGCACUGACUGCGUGGGAUUGAUUACACUGGAGGAACAAAAGGUCCUGUGGCUACACAAGUUUGAAAAGCAGAAGGUACAAUCAUUGUAUUUCUGGCAGACUUUUCAAAGACUUUAAUAUAUGAAUCCCUCAUAUGAAUCUCCUGGAGGAUUAUAUAAUAGGCAGAUCUCCCAGCCAUUUUCACUGAACAGUUCUUAGAAUUGGUAUCCUUGAAAAAUUUCACCUAACCACUCAAUAUGGUAGCCACUAGUCCUGGGUGGCUAUUGAGCACCUGAAAUUUGCCUAGUCUGAAUUAAGACACAUUCUAAGAAUAAAGCACACUGUAUUUCAAAGGCAGUACAAAAAUAAAAAAGAAUGUAAGCUGUCUCAAUAAUAAUUUUUGUAUUGAAUACGUGUUGAAAUGAUGUUAUUUUUGAUAUAUUGAGUGAAAUAAAUUGUAUUGC